UGCCUACGGGGGGCAGCAGUGGGGAAUAUUGCGCAAUGGGCGAAAGCCUGACGCAGCGACGCCGCGUGAGGGAUGAAGGUCUUCGGAUCGUAAACCUCUGUCAGGAGGGAAGAAGAUGACGGUACCUGACUAAGAAGCCCCGGCUAAAUACGUGCCAGCAGCCGCGGUAAUACGUAUGGGGCAAGCGUUAUCCGGAUUUACUGGGUGUAAAGGGAGCGCAGGCGGCCUGGCAAGCCUGAUGUGAAAUACCGGGGCCCAACCCCGGGGCUGCAUUGGGAACUGCCAGGCUGGAGGGCCGGAGAGGC
rnacentral:rRNA from 1 species